AUGAACGCUGGCGGUAUGCUUAACACAUGCAAGUCGUACGAAGAUCUUUGAUCUUAGUGGCGGACGGGUGAGUAACACGUGAGAAUCUGCCCUUAGGAAGAGGAUAACAGCUGGAAACGGUUGCUAAUACUCUAUACGCCGAGAGGUAAAAGGAUUUAUCCACCUUAGGAAGAGCUCGCGUCUGAUUAGCUUGUUGGUAGGGUAAUGGCCUACCAAGGCGACGAUCAGUAGCUGGUUUGAGAGGACGACCAGCCACACUGGGACUGAGACACGGCCCAGACUCCUACGGGAGGCAGCAGUGGGGAAUUUUCCGCAAUGGGCGAAAGCCUGACGGAGCAAUACCGCGUGAAAGAUGAAAGCCUGUGGGUUGUAAACCUCUUUUCUCAAGGAAGAAAUUCUGACGG
rnacentral:rRNA from 1 species